GCUUCUCAAUGCCCAAAUAAACGGGUAAUGGUUUUGUUGGAUAAUGGAGAGGUGGUGAGUGAAAGUGAAGGAGAGUUUGAGGACAUGCCUGCAUUGGAGGAUGUUGAAGAAGAAGAAAAAUUGGAGUUUGCUGUUGGGAAAUCGUUGGUGUUAAGGAGAGCUCUUAACACUCAAGUCAAAGUGGAUGAUUCGGAGCAACAGCGAGA
rnacentral:lncRNA from 1 species